AAGGGUGAGGUCGGUGGUUCAAGUCCACUCAGGCCUACCAGUUUCGCUUAUCCCGAUGAAUGAGACCGCAGCGUGUUGCCGCCAGGCGAGCGUGUCAGGCGGUGUCCGGCAUGCGGCGAAAAGGGAGACUGGCUGUCGUCCUGUUUACUGACUGUGAUGAACGAGGCAUUACCUGUGCACGCAGGUAGGCGGACUCAGCGCGGGUGACCGACGGCAUAUGCAAGGUGAACGACUUGGGGCUAUAGCUCAGCUGGGAGAGCGCCUGCUUUGCACGCAGGAGGUCAGCGGUUCGAUCCCGCUUAGCUCCACCAUUCCGUCAUGGAAUGUUUUUGUCAUCCUGCGGGAUGAGAGGUUUUUCUGUCGUUGACUUAUUUCAGAGCGCGUUUAUCGAGCGCGCUGCGAAAUACCGCUCUUUAACAAUCCGGAACAAGCUGAAAAUUUGAAACACAUGCUGAAGUGCAAACUCAGUAUGCGAGUCUCUCAAACGAAGUAAGCAAACCUGAGAUAACGCGUAAGCGUUAUCACUGUAGCACGACAGG
rnacentral:misc_RNA from 1 species